rnacentral:rRNA from 1 species
GAUGAACGCUAGCGGCAGGCCUAAUACAUGCAAGUCGAACGGGAUUGCGGUAGUAGCUUGCUACUACUGCAUGAGAGUGGCGCACGGGUGCGUAACGCGUGAGCAACCUACCCAUAUCAGGGGGAUAGCCCGGCGAAAGUCGGAUUAACACCGCAUAACAUCAACAGUUCGCAUGUUCAGUUGAUUAAAUAUUUAUAGGAUAUGGAUGGGCUCGCGUGACAUUAGCUAGUUGGUAGGGUAACGGCUUACCAAGGCAACGAUGUCUAGGGGCUCUGAGAGGAGAAUCCCCCACACUGGUACUGCGACCCGGACCAGACUCCUACGGGCGGCAGCAGUAAGGAAUAUUGGUCAAUGGACGCAAGCCUGAACCAGCCAUGCCGCGUGCAGGAGGACUGCCCUAUGGGUUGUAAACUGCUUUUAUCAGGGACUAAUCCCCUUUACGAGUAGCGGGUUGAAUGUACCUAAAGAAUAAGGAUCGGCUAACUCCGUG